ACGCUCGACACCUACGGAAGGCAGCAGUGGGGAAUAUUGCACAAUGGGGGAAACCCUGAUGCAGCGAUGCCGCGUGAAGGAAGAAGUAUCUCGGUAUGUAAACUUCUAUCAGCAGGGAAGAAAAUGACGGUACCUGACUAAGAAGCCCCGGCUAACUACGUGCCAGCACGCCGGCGGUAAUCUGAGGCGGGCGUGGCGAAGGC
rnacentral:rRNA from 1 species